GAGGAGGUCGGAGGAGGAGACGCAGUGAAGAGAGGAGAAGAAGAAGAGCGCCGGCGGAGAGAGCGCCAUGACGACGACGAUGAUGAUGAUGAUGAUGAGGGAGAGGAGCAGCUGAUGAUGAAGAACAUCUACCAGUUGUCCUGAAAUGUCUGUUCAAAAUAAACCUUUAUUGAAACGCUCAGAGCGAACAACAGGAAA